UCUGCCAACUCCUUUCUCCUCUCUUGGCCUUUGAUUUUUUGAUUGAUGACUUGAAGUGACUUGAAGCUGAGUGGGAGUUUUGAGACAGUGAUCACUGGGAUGAUGACUGCCACCACCAUGUAUGACGUGCACACACUAAGGAGGGCUGUGAAGGGAGCAGGAACAGAUGAAAGUUGCCUGAUUGAAAUUGUGGCUUCUCACACCGAUGAAGAGAUUCGUCACAUGGAUGAGAACCACAAGCUUUAAUCUGGCUGCUCCCUUGAGGAUGACAUCGUAUCUGACACAUCUUCCAUGUUUCGAAGGGUCCUCGUGUCCCUCGCAGUGGUGAGCCACGCUGAGGGGAGGAGGGGGUGAAUCUUCAGAGCUGUGGGCACAGCUCUGCACUCAGUGGUGAGGAGCUCCAGGCUGGCUUUUUCUCUCCCUGUGUGUCCCAUGGCCUGCUCCUCAAACCCAGCUUCUGCAGGGAGGAGACUCUGACUCUGGGUGUGCAUGAGUGCUGUGGGCCCUUUUUUAAACAUCCCAGUAAAGUGGGUUG